rnacentral:rRNA from 1 species
GAUGAACGCUGGCGGCGUGCCUAACACAUGCAAGUCGAACGAAGCGCCUUACCGGAUUCUUCGGAUGAGGGUCUGGUGACUGAGUGGCGGACGGGUGAGUAACGCGUGUGUAACCUGCCCUGUACAGGGGGAUAACAGCUGGAAACGGCUGCUAAUACCGCAUAAGCGCACGAGGAGACAUCUCCUUGUGUGAAAAACUCCGGUGGUACAGGAUGGGCCCGCGUCUGAUUAGCUGGUUGGCAGGGUAACGGCAUACCAAGGCAACGAUCAGUAGCCGGUCUGAGAGGAUGAACGGCCACAUUGGAACUGAGACACGGUCCAAACUCCUACGGGAGGCAGCAGUGGGGAAUAGUGCACAAUGGGGGAAACCCUGAUGCAGCAACGCCGCGUGAGUGAAGAAGUAUUUCGGUAUGUAAAGCUCUAUCAGCAGGGAAGAUAUUGACGGUACCUGACUAAGAAGCUCCGGCUAAAUACGUG